AUGUACCCAAGGGGCUACUUCAGGACAAGCUGCAAGGGUGACCUUCCCUCCCGCCCACUGAAAGGGUCAGCAGAGCCCUCUGUGCACAGGAAGAUGUCCGCAUCCUCCAUACACUGGGAACUGGAACUCUGCUCCUCAGACAACAGCUUGGUCUGGGCCGAUCCAUCUUCCUCGCCCCUCUCAGGCCCACCUGGGCAGGCAGAGGCUUCUGGAGCCUUCUCUUGCCAUCUGCCCUAGUGAAGGCCCUCCUGGGGGACAGUGGCGUGGGGGUUCUGUGGAACGGACUGGCUGCAGGCCAGGUGUGCCGAGGGUGUCUGUGCAGUCAGGGGCUACUCUGGGGAGGACCCCCCAGCGGGUGGGGAAGGACUGAACAGUGAGUCCCAAAAGGACAGCCUGGGAGCCCCUGCAUCCAGGCCCCCUGGGUAGCCGGCUGAAGGCCUCUGCCCUCGACCUCUGCAUUUGGGCUUCGGGACCUGGCCUGGAAAUCUGCAUAUG
rnacentral:lncRNA from 1 species